GAUAAUCGAUUGCUACACGACUCUCAUUUAGUGUCAAAAAGUUCCUGGAGUAACAAGUACAAAGUGAAUUAAGUAAAAUAAUUGAAGAAUAAAGUGAAAAUUUACACACAUCAGAUAGUGAGCUUACAACGGCAUUAUAAUAAUUCGGCAGGGUGUGUGUGUUCCCUUUUCUGCAGGUUAAAAAUCGACUUCUGGGAAAUACGCCCAGAGAAUGAGCAUGCAUUGGUUUUUAAAUAGGACGACCUGAAGCGCAGUGUUUCCUUUUUACGAUAGGAAGAUUAAAAACCAUCUCAGCAGGCAACAGCUUACCAAAGCAAAGUCGGCAAUAAAUUAAGAUGCCCAGGACUUUUUAUUUGUUAUUUUGCUUGACAGCGC